CAGUCGCCGCGGUAAUACGAAGGUCCCGAGCGUUGUUCGGAAUCACUGGGCGUAAAGGGAGCGUAGGCGGCGUGGUAAGUCAGAUGUGAAAUCCCGGGGCUCAACCCCGGAACUGCAUCCGAUACUGCCAUGCUAGAGGAUUGGAGAGGUAGCUGGAAUUCUUGGUGUAGCAGUGAAAUGCGUGGAGAUCAAGAGGAACACUCGUGGCGAAAGCGAGCUACUGGACAAUAACUGACGCUGAGGCUUGAAGGCCAGGGUAGCGAAAGGGAUUAGAUACCCCAGUAGUCCCUGUCUCUUAUAA
rnacentral:rRNA from 1 species